CGGGUCAGGUGGUCGCUGGCCCCUUUGGGGGCCAGAGGAAAGUCCGAGCUCCAGAGGGCAGGAUGGUCGCUAACGGCGACUGCCCCGGCAGGGGUCAGGAAAGUGCCACAGAAACCAGACCGCCCCUACCCCUGGGUAGGGGUAAGGGUGAAAGGGUGAGGUAAGAGCUCACCAGCAAGGAGGGCGACCUCCUUGGCUUGGCAAACCCCAUCCGGAGCAAGACCGAAUAGGAGGGCGAGAGGGUGGCCCGCCCUAUGCCCUCGGGUAGGUCGCAGGAGGCAUGCGGUAACGCAUGUCCCAGAUGAAUGACCACCACCCUCCUCAAGGGGAGGGGACAGAACUCGGCUUAUGGCCCGCGCG
rnacentral:RNase_P_RNA from 1 species